ensembl:lncRNA
AUGGUCUGCAAGCCUACAUUUACAACUCCAACUACGACUACAAUUUAUUACACAUCGACAGCUCAUCCAUCUACAGCAAUAAUAACCCACACAGCCACAACACAACCACCAACAACUCAGAGCACAACACAAUACAUAAAACCAACAACACAAUACACAACGAAAACAACAACCGAGAAGACAACAGAAUCUUCUACAACUCCAGUUAAAGCCACAACUACAACACAACUACCAACAGCUGUGAGCACCACAGAAUACAAAACCACAACACAACUACCAACAUCAGAGAGAACAAGACAAUACACAACCACAACACGUCCAUCAACAACUGAAAGUACAAAAGAAACAUACACAACUCCGAGGGAAGAAACAACCACAACACAACCACCACCAACUGAGGGCACAACAGAACACACCACCACAACACGUUCACCAACAACUGAAAGUACAACUGAAACAUACACAGCUCCAAUGGAAGAAACAACCACAACACCACCACCAACUGAGAGCACAACAGAACACAAAACCACAACACAUCCAUCAACAACUGAAAGUACAAUAGAAACAUACACAACUCCAAUGGAAGAAACAACCACUGCACAGCCACCAACAACUGAGAGCACAACAGAACACAAAACCACAACACGACCACCGACAACUGAAAGUACAACAGAAACAUACACAACUCCGUUGGAAGAAACAACCACAGCACAACCACCACCAACUGAUAGCACAACAGAACACAGAACCACAACAAGUCCAUCAACAACCGAAAGUACAACAGAAACAAACACAACUCCGAUGGAAGAAACAACCACAACACAACCACCACCAACAGAAAGCACAACAGAACACAAAACCACGACACGGCCACCAUCAACUGAAAGUACAACAGAAACAUACACAACUCCGUUGGAAGAAACAACCACAGCACAACCGCCACCAACUGAGAGCACAACAGAACACAAAACCACAACAAGUCCAUCAACAACUGAAAGUUCAACAGAAACAUACACAACUCCGAUGGAAGAAACAACCACAACACAAUCACCCACCUCAGAAAGUACAACAGAAUACACAACACAACCACCAACAAGUGAGAGCACAACUCAACCAACCAUACCAACAAAACAAUACACAACUGCAACUCAGCCGACUACUAAAGCCAUAACUUCAGUAAAAUAUAGCACUUCAGUGUCAACAGUAUCUACAACAGGUGUGGAAGCCACUACAAAUAUAAACUUGUGCUUGAAUGAACAUUUAAACAAUGCUUUCUACAAAUAUAACACCAGUAAUGUCAUAAUAAACACACAGUGA